AUGCCAGCCCCAUCAAACGCCAUCGCCUCUGAACCGCCACAAGUGGCGCACAACAUUAGAGCGCAGAUAUUAGCAGGUGCAGAUGUCAAUCUCUCUUCUCUCCUUUCCCUCCUGCCAACCUCGGACUCAAACCGGCAAAUAGAUUGCGGAGAUUUUUCAGUCACUCUAAAAAAUCCGAAUCCUCUGUCAGCAAGACUACUCUCUUUUUCGGAGUUCACCAUCGCAUUUAGUCGUUUCACAGAGAUCAUCUGUUCAGCCUUCCCCCACAGACGACGCAAACUCAAUGAUUAUCUGUCCAUCAUAGCCGAACUCGCGUUGUCCUACGGAGGGGGUCACUUUUACACGUACCACAAGCUUUUUUCCGCUAAAUGCGCAGUAAGAGUCAGCCAAUGGAACCAGUGCCCAUAUUGGGGCGCAAUUGACCCAGAUCUCCACAGCCGAGUAUUUUUAGGCUGCAGGAAUAUUUCCUGCGCAAUCUGUAGGUCAGUCGCCCAUUCCACCAUGUCUUGCCCACAAGUUAACCCCUCUAUACCCCCAUGCAUCGACACCUCAACGAAAUCUACCAGCUACGUCCCAAGAACCGCAACCACGACUUUCUCGAGUCCCGAGCAAAAUGCCCCUUUAGCAGCAGACGGCAGGCAAACAUGCUACGCAUUUAACAGUAAGAAAUGCGUUAGACAGCGCUGCCGUUUCCUCCACAUUUGCAGCUAUUGCGGCGGAGCUCACGCUCGCAUGGUCUGCCCAGUUCUCAAAAGUGUGAAUAAAAAAUCAAAAAAAUACCUAUCGACUCCUGUGAAUAUUUGUCGCCUGACCAGCGAACUCGCUCACCACCCAGACAAAGAAUUCACUAAUUAUCUUCUCUCGGGCCUUAGAAAUGGUUUCAGUCCCGGCGUCGAAUGCGCGCUCUCCCAAAAUUUCAUAUGCAAUAAUCUCCAGUCCGCACACGCAGAGCCCGAUGUCGUACAUAAAUUAAUCAAAAAAGAAAUAGAGUCAGGCUUCAUGAUCGGCCCUUUCGAUAAACCUCCCUUCGAAGUGUAUCGAGUCAGCCCCAUCGGAGUGGCUACUAGAAAGUUUUCAGGUAAGAAACGCCUAAUAAUCGAUCUAUCAUCACCACAUAAUUCCACGGUCCCAAGCAUUAAUAGCUUGAUCCCCCUCGAGGAAUUUUCUCUCAAAUACCACGACAUAGAUCAGACAGUCGAACUGAUUAAAAUUGCAGGUCAAGGAGCCUGGCUCGCGAAAAUAGAUAUAACUUCUGCCUUCAAAGUGAUGCCUAUCCAUCCGAAUGCAUGGCAUUUAUUUGGGAUACGAUGGCUCGGGAAAUUCUAUUUCGCCGUUCGGUUAACCUUCAGAUGCAAAAGCAGCCCAAAAAUCUUCGACACGCUGUCAGAAGCUGUUUGCUGGAUUUUGUCGAAUAAUUAUGCAAUUCCCCACCUUAUUCACCUCUUAGACGACUUCCUGGUCAUCUCACCUCCCAACGCAAUCCCAGCCGCCCACAUUCUCACAGUCCAAAAAGUUUUUUCCGAGCUCGGCAUCCCUAUCGCUCAGGAAAAAACAAUGGGCCCCGCUACAUCCAUCGAAUUCCUAGGUAUCAUCUUAGGCUCAGUCAAAUUUCAACUUUCCCUGCCUAAGGAAAAGAUCGAUAGAAUAAUCCUUGUCGCGUCUAUCCUCCUCGACAGCCCAAGUUGUUAUAAACGCGAACUCCUUUCUCAGCUCGGGCACUUAAAUUUCGCGAUGCGCAUCAUUCCCCAGGGCUGCCCUUUCAUCUCGCAUCUUCUCUCACUCGCGUCAUCCGUACACGGGCUCGAGGAACGCAUUUCCCUAUCUAAUGCAUGCCGCAACGAACUUAAAUUAUGGAUAAUGUUCCUUAAACAGUGGAAUGGCCUUUCCCUUUUUUACAGCAACCAAAUUUCGUCUCCCGUCGACAUCCAAUUAUUUACUGACGCAGCCCCCUCAAUUGGCUACGGAGGGUUUUACCAAGGUCGUUGGAUUGCGGCUCCAUGGCCCCCCCAGCUGCAGGGCUCCCCUCUGUCCUCAGCCUUCUUCGAGCUCUACCCCCUGGUGGUAGCAGCCUCUCUGUGGGGAAACGAAUGGGCUUCUAAAAGUAUCUUAGUACACUGUGACAACGAAGCAGCCGUCCAGUGUAUUAACAGAGGCCGCACUCAUUCUCCUGACCUCAUGCCUCUCCUUAGAAGCUUAACGUGGAUAGCAGCAUGCAACCAAUUCAUAAUGAUUGCUAAACAUAUUCCAGGUUCAGAAAAUCAAAUUGCUGACUCUCUGUCUCGCUUUCUGUUCCAGAAAUUCAGGAGGCUGGUUCCAGAGGCGGACCAAUUCCCCACUCCAGUACCUCACUAUUCAGAAUUAAUAUUCCCGUAA
ensembl:lncRNA